AACGCGAAGAACCUUACCUACUCUUGACAUCCAGAGAAUUUGCUAGAGAUAGCUUAGUGCCUUCGGGAACUCUGAGACAGGUGCUGCAUGGCUGUCGUCAGCUCGUGUUGUGAAAUGUUGGGUUAAGUCCCGUAACGAGCGCAACCCUUGUCCUUAUUUGCCAGCACGUAAUGGUGGGAACUCUAAGGAGACUGCCGGUGACAAACCGGAGGAAGGUGGGGACGACGUCAAGUCAUCAUGGCCCUUACGAGUAGGGCUACACACGUGCUACAAUGGUCGGUACAGAGGGUUGCGAACCUGCGAAGGUAAGCUAAUCUCAAAAAACCGAUCGUAGUCCGGAUUGGAGUCUGCAACUCGACUCCAUGAAGUCGGAAUCGCUAGUAAUCGUGGAUCAGAAUGCCACGGUGAAUACGUUCCCGGGGUCUUGUACACACCG
rnacentral:rRNA from 1 species